rnacentral:rRNA from 1 species
UACGUAGGAGGCAAGCGUUGUCCGGAAUUAUUGGGCGUAAAGGGCUCGUAGGCGGCCAACUAAGUCCGACGUGAAAUCCCAAGGCUUAACCUUGGAACUGCGUCGGAUACUGGAUGGCUUGAAUUCGGGAGAGGGAUGCAGAAUUCCAGGUGUAGCGGUGAAAUGCGUAGAUAUCUGGAGGAAUACCGGUGGCGAAGGCGGCAUCCUGGACCGACAUUGACGCUGAUGAGCGAAAGCUAGGGGAGCAAACGGG